rnacentral:rRNA from 1 species
AGUGAACGCUGGCGGUAGGCCUAACACAUGCAAGUCGAACGGCAGCACAGUAAGAGCUUGCUCUUACGGGUGGCGAGUGGCGGACGGGUGAGGAAUACAUCGGAAUCUACUUUUUCGUGGGGGAUAACGUAGGGAAACUUACGCUAAUACCGCAUACGACCUACGGGUGAAAGCAGGGGAUCUUCGGACCUUGCGCGAUUGAAUGAGCCGAUGUCGGAUUAGCUAGUUGGCGGGGUAAAGGCCCACCAAGGCGACGAUCCGUAGCUGGUCUGAGAGGAUGAUCAGCCACACUGGAACUGAGACACGGUCCAGACUCCUACGGGAGGCAGCAGUGGGGAAUAUUGGACAAUGGGCACAAGCCUGAUCCAGCCAUACCGCGUGGGUGAAGAAGGCCUUCGGGUUGUAAAGCCCUUUUGUUGGGAAAGAAAAGCAGCAGGUUAAGACCCCGCUGUUCUGACGGUACCCAAAGAAGAAGCACCGGCUAACUUCGU